rnacentral:rRNA from 2 species
GCCUAAUACAUGCAAGUCGAACGAACUCUGGUAUUGAUUGGUGCUUGCAUCAUGAUUUACAUUUGAGUGAGUGGCGAACUGGUGAGUAACACGUGGGAAACCUGCCCAGAAGCGGGGGAUAACACCUGGAAACAGAUGCUAAUACCGCAUAACAACUUGGACCGCAUGGUCCGAGUUUGAAAGAUGGCUUCGGCUAUCACUUUUGGAUGGUCCCGCGGCGUAUUAGCUAGAUGGUGGGGUAACGGCUCACCAUGGCAAUGAUACGUAGCCGACCUGAGAGGGUAAUCGGCCACAUUGGGACUGAGACACGGCCCAAACUCCUACGGGAGGCAGCAGUAGGGAAUCUUCCACAAUGGACGAAAGUCUGAUGGAGCAACGCCGCGUGAGUGAAGAAGGGUUUCGGCUCGUAAAACUCUGUUGUUAAAGAAGAACAUAUCUGAGAGUAACUGUUCAGGUAUUGACGGUAUUUAACCAGAAAGCCACGGCUAACUACGUGCCAGCAGCCGCGGUAAUACGUAGGUGGCAAGCGUUGUCCGGAUUUAUUGGGCGUAAAGCGAGCGCAGGCGGUUUUUUAAGUCUGAUGUGAAAGCCUUCGGCUCAACCGAAGAAGUGCAUCGGAAACUGGGAAACUUGAGUGCAGAAGAGGACAGUGGAACUCCAUGUGUAGCGGUGAAAUGCGUAGAUAUAUGGAAGAACACCAGUGGCGAAGGCGGCUGUCUGGUCUGUAACUGACGCUGAGGCUCGAAAGUAUGGGUAGCAAACAGGAUUAGAUACCCUGGUAGUCCAUACCGUAAACGAUGAAUGCUAAGUGUUGGAGGGUUUCCGCCCUUCAGUGCUGCAGCUAACGCAUUAAGCAUUCCGCCUGGGGAGUACGGCCGCAAGGCUGAAACUCAAAGGAAUUGACGGGGGCCCGCACAAGCGGUGGAGCAUGUGGUUUAAUUCGAAGCUACGCGAAGAACCUUACCAGGUCUUGACAUACUAUGCAAAUCUAAGAGAUUAGACGUUCCCUUCGGGGACAUGGAUACAGGUGGUGCAUGGUUGUCGUCAGCUCGUGUCGUGAGAUGUUGGGUUAAGUCCCGCAACGAGCGCAACCCUUAUUAUCAGUUGCCAGCAUUAAGUUGGGCACUCUGGUGAGACUGCCGGUGACAAACCGGAGGAAGGUGGGGAUGACGUCAAAUCAUCAUGCCCCUUAUGACCUGGGCUACACACGUGCUACAAUGGAUGGUACAACGAGUUGCGAACUCGCGAGAGUAAGCUAAUCUCUUAAAGCCAUUCUCAGUUCGGAUUGUAGGCUGCAACUCGCCUACAUGAAGUCGGAAUCGCUAGUAAUCGCGGAUCAGCAUGCCGCGGUGAAUACGUUCCCGGGCCUUGUACACACCGCCCGUCACACCAUGAGAGUUUGUAACACCCAAAGUCGGUGGGGUAACCUUUUAGGAACCAGCCGCC